rnacentral:lncRNA from 10 species
UUUUGUACUCCUCCUUGAUCACAUGUUCUUCCACUGCGUUGUCAAAGGCUGCUUCCUUGUUGGUCAUGGCAGGCAGAUGUUAGUGAACUCUUCAUACGGUGAUCAUCUGAGAACUCCUCCUUCCAUCUUCCAACUUACCUGGGAACUGGUGAUUUUAAAAGCUCCUCACUAGUUUUGAAAUCACAUAUUUUACCAUUCUCAAUCUUACUGUAUUUUGUUGUUUUUACAACAGAGAUAAUAUCUAUUUCUCAGUGUCAUCAAAAUAUAAAAUUAUGUGGAAAAAAGUUUGAAAAGCUAUAAAGGGUCACAUUCCAAUUUAUAAUAUAUCAUAUACAGCAGAAUUUAAAUAUACUCUGAGGAGAAAGAAAAAAAUUAUUUCUCAGUAGGUGUUCUUUCUGUUAGAUAGUUAGCUUGUAUAUGUUCUUGCAAAUUUUGUAUUGUAAUGUGUUUUAUUUUUAGUCAAUAUUUUUCAAAUUUUCUUUCCUGUAACUAGUGGUGUAACAAAUAUUAUAUCCUGUAACUAGUGGUAUAACUAGUGGUAUAACAAAUAUUGUAUCCUUCAAUAUUUAUGUCUUUAUUUUUGGAGAAGAUGCUUAAAGAUGGGACUACUGUGUCAAAUUGACUACUUGAUCAAAUUCUAACCAACAAUGACUGGGACUUCAAUCUCUACUGCACUGGUUGUAAUUAGAUUUCAGAGCCUAGAAAUUCUGGAAUGUUAGUUUUCAGUUGUUAAAUUUUGUUUUUCAGAUUAGUGCUCUGCAAAAGGAGAUAGGAAAUUAUGAAUAAUAAAUGUGCAUUCCUUUCAUCACUGACCCUGGAGAAGUGACUUGUAGGCACUAAUGUUAUUUGUCCUCAGCCUAUAUUCUAGAUCUAAUUUCCUCCUACUCUUCUGCUCAAAUUAAUUCAGCUAUAAAGGUCUCUAAUUGUACCGUUACAAAGCCAUUGAACUUUGCUGAUUUCGACUAAAAUAUUACCUCCUGAGAGAGGAUUUCCGGGACUACUGUGUUUGUUUUCUAGAGUUGCCAUAACAAAGUAUUACAGACUGGGUGUCUGAAACAAUAUAAAUUUAUUUUCUCACAAUUCUGGAGGCUAAAAUCUGAGAUCAAGAUGUUGGCAGUGUUGAUUUCUUCUGAGGCCUCUCUCCUUCACUUGUAAAUAACUGUCUUCUGUGUCUUCAUGUCAUCUUCUCUAUCUGUGUCCAAAUUUACUCUUCUUAUAAAGACACCAGUCAUAUUUGAUUAGACCCCACCCUAAUGACCUCAUUUUAACUAAUUACCUCUCUGAAGUCUCUAUCUCCAAAUACAAUCAUAUUCUGAGGUAGUGGGGAUUAGAGCUUCAGCCUAUGAAUUUGGGGGGAACAUAAUUCUGCCCAUAAUAGUAUAUAGCUCUACCUCAGAGUCAUAUUAUUAUUAUUGUUGUUAUUGUUAUGAAAUAAAAUGACACCUUGAAUAUCCAUUUUCAGAAUGAAUUAUUCAUUCAAUGGCUUAUAACUGUAAGUGGACUGUAUCCAAUUAUUUCUGUAGUUAUUUGGACCUGUCAUAUUUACUAGGAUUCUGAAUAAUAACCAUAGUGUUAAAUAUAUUCACCACUUUAGAAUAAAACAUAUUCAGUCAAUUCAGCUUGCAUUUACAUAUUGUAUGACUAAGAUUUGUAAUUCUAUAUCAGUGCUUUAAAAAUUCAAUUUUAUGCAAUAAUACUGCUCUGACUGGCUAGAAAGAUAGGGAUUAAUAAUGGAAGUUCAUAAACAGACUUCUUAAACACUAGUUGGAGAUAUUCUGGAGUGGGUGGAAACUUUAAAUUGGGAAUUACAUCAGAUGUUCUGGAGUUUCCUUCUACAGCUCAGAAAUGGCUAUUUAAUUCAUCUUCCUAUUCCUAUAUUUCUAAAGUCAUAUGUGCAUGAAAUGACUGUUUUCCAUGUGCAAAGAUUAACUAAAUUAAGUCUGGAUAUCUACCCACCUACCCAUCAAUAAAACCCUCCACAAAAAUUAAGUUUUUAAACAUUUUAGAGCUAUUAAUUAAAAAUACACACAUACACACACACACACACAUAAUUAUUUGAGUAAGAUUACCUGAUAUUUAAAAUGUAGUUGAACUGAUCAUAUAUGUCAUGGCUUAUCCCUAGAUAUGAAAUCCAUGUAAUGCAUUUUAAUACUUUUAAUAUACUGCAUGCUUUGUUAUACUAACUGCAAAUAUUAAAUGGUAUUUUGCUAACUUUCUACUUGUGAGAAAAACAUCUAGUACAUAUGUGAGUGAAAUUUUAAUUGAACAGAUGGUUCUUACAGGUGAAGACUGAACAAUACAAAAUUCUAAGUUAUUCAAGUGGUUUGUGCUAUAAUAUUGGAUUACGUUCUUUCUAGGGUGCAGAAAAUAUUGAGAAAUAUAUACCUUUAGAAGUUUGUAGAAACAGCUUUAUACAUGAAAAAAAUACUAAUUUCUUUAAAACUCAUUCAUUCAGUUGCUUACCAGCAAAAUUCUGUAGUCAAUUAAUAUAGCUUAAAUGAAGUAUUCAUCUCUCAGCAAUCAUUACAUUACAAAUUAAAUUUUAGUACACUUCAACUUGUGUAAGUGCCAUCAAAGACUGAAGUCCUAUUGGCUAAAGCAUCAUUGUCAUCUCAAUUGUAUUUUUCCCUUUGGAGAUGUGAAUUAUUCCUUUCUUACGAUGUUACAGAAAGAUAGAUUAUGAAAUGCUUCAUUUUUCUGCAUUUUUUUAGUAGUUCACUUUUAAUAAAUUUGAAUUUAAAUUUAAUCUUACAUUGAUGUCUGGAUGGUCAUAAAUAUGUAGUAAUCAUAAAACUCUUUUCUUGUGAAGCUAAUUUACAAAUAAGGAGAAUACAUUUUAUAAUUUACAACUUAAACCUGA